rnacentral:rRNA from 1 species
GCCCAGACUCCUACGGGAGGCAGCAGUGGGGGAUAUUGCACAAUGGGGGAAACCCUGAUGCAGCGACGCCGCGUGGGUGAAGAAGCGCCUCGGCGCGUAAAGCCCUGUCAGCAGGGAAGAAAAUGACGGUACCUGAAGAAGAAGCCCCGGCUAACUACGUGCCAGCAGCCGCGGUAAUACGUAGGGGGCAAGCGUUAUCCGGAUUUACUGGGUGUAAAGGGAGCGUAGGCGGUGAUGCAAGUCAGAAGUGAAAGCCCGCAGCUCAACUGCGGGACUGCUUUUGAAACUGUAUGACUAGAUUGCAGGAGAGGUAAGUGGAAUUCCUAGUGUAGCGGUGAAAUGCGUAGAUAUUAGGAGGAACACCAGUGGCGAAGGCGGCUUACUGGACUGUAAAUGACGCUGAGGCUCGAGAGCGUGGGGAGCAAACAGGAUUAGAUACCCGGGUAAA